rnacentral:rRNA from 1 species
AGCGAACGCUGGCGGCAGGCCUAACACAUGCAAGUCGAACGAACUCUUCGGAGUUAGUGGCGGACGGGUGAGUAACACGUGGGAACGUGCCUUUAGGUUCGGAAUAACUCAGGGAAACUUGUGCUAAUACCGAAUGUGCCCUUCGGGGGAAAGAUUUAUCGCCUUUAGAGCGGCCCGCGUCUGAUUAGCUAGUUGGUGAGGUAAAGGCUCACCAAGGCGACGAUCAGUAGCUGGUCUGAGAGGAUGAUCAGCCACAUUGGGACUGAGACACGGCCCAAACUCCAACGGGAGGCAGCAGGGGGGAAUCUUGCGGAAUGGGCGAAAGCCUGACGCAGCCAUGCCGCGUGAAUGAUGAAGGUCUUAGGAUUGUAAAAUCCUUUCACCGGUGAAGAUAAUGACCGUAGCCGGAGAAGAAGCCCCGGCUAACUUCGUGCCAGCGGCCGCCGCCG